rnacentral:rRNA from 1 species
GAUGAACGCUGGCGGCGUGCCUAAUACAUGCAAGUCGAGCGAACGGACGAUAAGCUUGCUUCUCUGAUGUUAGCGGCGGACGGGUGAGUAACACGUGGAUAACCUACCUAUAAGACUGGGAUAACUUCGGGAAACCGGAGCUAAUCCCGGAUAAUAUUUUGAACCGCAUGGUUCAAAAGUGAAAGACGGUCUUGCUGUCACUUAUAGAUGGAUCCGCGCUGCAUUAGCUAGUUGGUAAGGUAACGGCUUACCAAGGCAACGAUGCAUAGCCGACCUGAGAGGGGGAUAGCCCACACUGGAACUGAGACACGGUCCAGACUCCUAAGGGAGGCAGCAGUAGGGAAUCUUACGCAAUGGGCGAAAGCCUGACGGAGCAACGCCGCGUGAGUGAUGAAGGUCUUCGGAUCGUAAAACUCUGUUAUUAGGGAAGAACAUAUGUGUAAGUAACUGUGCACAUCUUGACGGUACCUAAUCAGAAAGCCACGGCUAACUACGUG